CACAAAACUAAUCUGCAUGACAGACCUCGUCUUGAAGCAGGAAUUUAAUAUGUCAUUUAUCACAACUCAACACAUUGGAACAAUCCUUCUAAUCAAUUUCGGAAUUAUUAACUCUAAUAUUGAUGAUGUGGGAAUAAUGGUCACAUUUGCAAAUACGACAAGUUUAAGGCGAGCUCGGCAAUUUAAUUUACCUGGCGGUGGAAAUUUGAAUUGUUAUUAUUGCAAUGUGUACAUCGAUGGGAAAUAUCAAGCCAACAGCGGUAUCGGAUAUCCGCCAAGUGGUUGGACUCCAUCUGGCGGCUGGUAUCCCCAAAGCGGCGGGAAUCAACCAAAUGGCUGGUAUCCACCAAGUGACUGGACUCCAUCUGGCGGCUGGAAUCCUGGAAUUGCUUACGACCCGAACAACGAACCUUACUACCCUUCAGAUGGACCUGAUCAACCAGAAUACGCCCCCCAGAAUGGCGGCUUUUGCAAAAAAAUGUGUCCAAGGGCUUUCGUCUGUGGUCGAUGGAAAUACAAGUACAGCGAUUGCAAGCAGACGCCGAAAUGUCCAGUCUGUGCCACGCGCUGCAACUUGAGCUCAAAUGCACCGGGAGGAGUAUGUAGGGAACGCUACACAGCUCCACCACGUGACCCUACUGAUUCAAUUUGGAAUGGAUAAAAAACUAUAAGCACAAUGUCCACAAAUUUGUAAGCUAUCGGGUGUUAAUUUGGUCAACUCCUUGUAAAAAUUGUUGCCUGCGUUAAUAUCAGAUUUAAUUUACGUACUUACUCGUUACGAAAUUUUCAAGACUUGCAUUGAUGCAAAUGAUAGGUUUAAAACUGGUAUUAAUAAGCCCCGAAAAUCAUGCAAGUAUAAAUUCUUAAAAAAUAUAAAUGGUACCGGUUUGAUGAAGAGGUAAGAUCUUAGGAUUACAAAUUGAGGUCAGCUUUGAGUUAUGUAUCUAUAUUUAUGUUAAUUGUAUGUAAAGAUGUAAACAUAAGGUAUGUACGAAUGCAAAUAUUAAGUUAUGUGGGAUCAAAAUCUUGUAUUUAUAUGUAUACAUAUUUAUGAAUUUAUUUUUUCAUUGUUUCUCCACUGCAUCAGAAAUGCAUGCAUGCAUUUAUUUACUCUCUCUACCAGACAAAAUGAAAAAACCGGAUUUUGCUAUAAAAAAAUAUGUAAUACUGAUAAAAUGGCACAUCCCAAUCGGUCAAUUGUAUUUUUUGGAACGGUUAAAAUUAAUGGCUAAUGUAAAGUUGAUCAAGUGCACCCAACAUCCAUAUAUGUAAAUAUGUACCUGCACUGUACAGGCUGCACAUCUUCAACCUCAAAUUUACAGUUGAGAUUUCACGUCUCGUUGAUCUAGUCUGCACAAAACUAAUCUGAAUGACAGACAUCAUCUUGAAGCAGGAAUGAAACAUGUCAUUUAUCACAGUAAGUUAUCUUGAAGUAUAAAUUUCUAUCAAUAUUGUUGCUAAUUUGAUUUUUAAACUAAUUGUAAGAUUCAACACAUUGGAGCUAUCCUUCUAAUUAAUUUCGGAAUUAUUACCUCUAAUAUUGACGAUGUGGGAAUAAUAGCAUCGAACGCAACAUUUGCAAAUACGACAAGUUUGAGACGAGCUCGGCAAUUUAAUUUACCUGGGGGUGGAAGUUUGAAUUGCUAUUACUGCAAUGUGUACAUCGACGGGAAAUAUCAAGCCAACAGCGGUAUCGGAUAUCCACCAAGCGGCGGGAAUCCAUCUGACGGCUGGUACCCACCCAGCGGCGGGAAUCAAGCAAAUGAGUGGUAUCCACCAAGUGGUUGGCCAUCUGGCGGCGGGAAUCCUGGAAUUUCUAGCAACCCGGACGACAAUGGUGCUUCUUCGGAAGGACCUGGCGAACCAGAGCACGCACCCCAGAAUGGUGGUGGCUUCUGCAAAAAAAGGUGUCCAGGGGCUUCAUAUUGUGAUCGGUAUAAAUACAAGUACCGAAAUUGCAAGGAGACGCCGAGAUGUCCAGUGUGCGCCACGUUCUGCUCUUUCCGUUUAAAUGCACAGGGAGGAGUAUGCAGGGAACGCCACACAGCCCCAUCACGUGACCCAACUAUGUCAAUAUGGCAAGGAUAAAAUGUCCAGCCCACCAAUAUGCAAACUAUUAGUUGUUAAGUUUUUCAACUCCUUAUAAAAAUUGAUUCCG